UGCAUGUGUAAGCGAAGCUUUUAGUGGAGCUGCGGAAGGCUCAGUAACGGGCGUCUAAUUUGAUCUCUUAGAGCGGACAACCUCUGUAAACGGAGGACAAAACGCAUUAUGGGCAUGUCCGAAAGAUGCCUAGACAACCGAAAGGUGUGAGAGAAUAAGGGGCCAUCCCAUCAGUUAGUAAGUAAGGUAAAGGCCUACUUAGACGAAGACGGGUACGGGGAAUUAUUGUUCGAUUCCGGAGAGGGAGCCUGAGAGAUGGCUACCAGGUCCAAGGAUAGCAGCAGGCGCGAAAAUUACCGAAGCCUAAAGUAGGGCGGUAGUAAUGAAACGUGAAAACGAUGUACUGAUAAAAGAGGUAGUAGUGACUGGAGGUAAAGACUGGUGCCAGCAUCCGCGGUAAUACCAGCUCCAGGAGUGUCUAUGAUGAUUGUUGCAAUUAAAGAGUUCGUAGUCGAGUAGCAUGACAGGUCUUUAAAGUGGUGGAUCAAACGACGACCAGGAUCUGAAAAGCUAAGAAUGAGGAGCGAUCAGGGGCUAGUUUAUUAAGCGACGAAAGGUGAAAUUUGAUGACUCGCUUAGGAGAAACGGAGGCGAAGGCGCUAGCCAGGAGCGAAUCCGAUGAUAAAGGACGUAGGCUAGAGGAUCGAAGACGAUUAGAGACCGUUGUAGUUCUAGCAGUAAACGAUGCCGACGCUGUGCUAUGAACUGUAGUGCGGAAGAGAAAUCGAGUAGGGCCUUGGGGAGAGUACAUACGCAAGUAAGAAACUUAAACGAAAUUGACGGAAGAACACCACAAGGAGUGGAGUGUGCGGCUUAAUUUGACUCAACGCGGGACAGCUUACCAAGCCCGACGACUGGACGAGUGUAGUACACGAUAGGUCGGAGAGUGGUGCAUGGCCGUUAACGACAAGUGGGGUGACCUUAUGGUUAAGUCCGGGAAGUAGUGAGACCCCUGCUAGCGGAAGACGAGACGAGUUAGGACAGGUACGCAAAGUACAGGAAGGAAGGGUCAAGAACAGGUCAGUGAUGCCCUCAGAUGGCUUGGGCUGCACGCGCACUACAGUGGUCACACGAAUAAAGGAAAGUAACAGUAAAGGUGAUUGAGAGGGAAUGAGCUUUGUAAGAGGCUCAGGAACGAGGAAUUGCUAGUAAUCGCAGACUCAUUAAGAUGCGAUGAAUACGUCCCUGUUCUUUGUACACACCGCCCGUCGUUAUCGAAGAUGGAAUCAGGUGCGAACAAGUGAAAACGAGUGAGUACAGGGUUCUAGAUGUGAUACAAGUCGUAACAAGGUAGCUGUAGGAGAACCUGUAGCUGGAUCAGACUGAGAGAAACGAAGGAGUAAAGUUAGAAGAGUAAAGAAAACCCUGCGCAAGGGAUCUUUUGGUUCGGUGAGCGAGGAAGAGCGCAGCGGAGAGCGAGAUGUGCAGGAGCAGCGGCGAUGACGGCACGUGCUUGAAGAUGCGGUGGCAGGACAACCCCUUAGAUUUAAGCAUAUUAGUAAAGGGAGGAAAAGAAACUAACGAGGAUUCCUGUAGUAGCGGCGAGCGAACAAGGAGGAGCCCA
rnacentral:rRNA from 2 species